rnacentral:rRNA from 1 species
AGUGAAAUCCGUAGAUAUCAGGAGGAACACCGGUGGCGAAGGCGGCCACCUGGACAGGUAUUGACGCUGAGGUGCGAAAGUGUGGGGAGCAAACAGGAUUAGAUACCCUGGUAGUCCACACCGUAAACGAUGGAUACUAGGUGUCGGGGACUUGAUCUUCGGUGCCGUAGCUAACGCGUUAAGUAUCCCGCCU